AUGAUGGGGAGACGUUAUCAGGUCCAUGUAGGUUGGGAUGAGGUGGAUUAGAUAAUGAUCCGAAAAACCCAGAGCAGCCCUGGUAACCCUAUGGACCCUGAAGAAGCUCAGCAGAUCGAUGUGAAAGGUUCCACAAUGGUGAUGAGAUGACUUGGCAUUGAUUUGCAUGGCCUUUAAAGCCACAUUGGGCUGUGCCAAUGUCUGAAGCCUCUGGAUAUGGAAAGCACGUUUUGAAACGUUGUGCCACCGCCAUGCCCAUUAUGAAAACCAUUGCCACUGAAUAACGAUAAUGUCAAAUGACGGUCUCUCUCCAUGUUUAUGUUGAAAUUCAAUAAAAACCUCAUUAAACUUGAGUGUUUGUCAUCUGUGUACAUGGAGUCUUUUUAAUCACUAAUCAUGGUGUAUUGUCCCACAGUGGGGACAUUCAGGAGUACCAGCAAGAAAGUAAAGGCGUACAGAUUCACAUGAAGGUAAAAAUAUGAAAUCAAAAACUACGAAGAUACCGUACAGUUAUUAAAACUAGCAUUCUCAGAAGGGUGAUAAAGUAGAUAAAGUAGGGUGAUUAUUAAAAUAUACAAAAUGUGUAUGUAUAAUUGUGCAUAAACAAUGUGAAAGUCUCAGCAAAUAACAGCAGGUGAGUAUAUCCACUGAGACCGAGAUGGGCCGGAUUUGGAUCAUUGAACGUUUGGUUAGUUUGUCUCUAGUUCUUGGUUUCCAGGAGUCUCUCAGGCAGACAGGUGAAGGAUGGCGAAGAGAUGGUGAGGAAACUCAAGAACUGAUUUCCUGGAGAUGAGAACCAUGAACAGCUAAACUCCUCAUGAUAAGCCUCAAUGGGCUUCAGAAAGCAAUCAGGAGACCGGUGAAGUUUUACAAGAGGUUUUAUUUUACGGUGAGCAGGUAAAGGGAAGUGGAGCUGGAACCGGAAGACAACUGUAAGGGAGUGGAGUUUGAUCCGCCAGGAGGGGGUGAGACAACAAUGGAACUGCACACUGAGAUGAACGGAGCUGGUAGAUACUUGGACUCACUUUGAGACUGUGGAAAAAGACACUGAUGACUCGAUGCUACAGAGCUGGUUCAAAUGGAGAUGGUGAAACUCAACUCGUCUCCCCGCCUCCAACGGACCGGACUACAGAAACUAAAAUCCACAGAGGUGGAGAGGAUCUGGUGUUGGGAAAGCUGCGAUCAUGAUAAUAAAAGCUCCAGAAAAUGCCUACCUCCAGGAAGACUUUAUAAUGCACAGAAGAAGAAAAUGUAAAAACUGAACUGUGAAUUGAACGUUCCCUAUCUUUCUGUCUUUUAUUUUCUGGUCUUCAAACAUGCAGUUAUAGAAACUGAAAAUUAUUCUGCUAUAGAACAAUGUUCUGUCGUAGUUAAAUCAUUACAUAAAAGUAUAGGUUUACAGUUAUGUUAAAUAGCUUCAUAUUAUGUGCUUACAUUUUGUAUUUACUCAUGUUUUCAUUUAUCAUUCAACAUGUCUUAUAAUUUUGUGUUAUUUAUGGUUACAGUUGAAAGACUCCAUAGCAUCUCUUAAUUAUUCUUUAGAAUGAUUUUCAACUACUCUCAAGUAUUAAGAAACAGUUAGCAAACUUAAUUUUUCCUGCCUUAAUAAUAUUUUGCUGCUAAACACUUAAGUGACAUGCCAGGUAGGGUGUGCUUACUUUGGGCCGUGGUUGACAGGUAAUCGCUCGGACCGGGGAGGAUUGUAGGGGAAUUUUUCCUGUGAAGAUCAGCCGGCAGGUUUUUUCGACCCUACACAAAGUGAGCAUGCCCUCAUAAUAUUCAGGCCAGAAAGGAAAGUCAUGCUGAAGUAAUCAUUCAUAUUUUUAUUUGGUCAAUGCCAUCAAGAGAUGGUAUGCAGACAUGGAGCUACUAUAGUAUAUUACUGCAGUGUACUACAUUUACUCUGUUAUUUUGUUAAGGUUUAAAUAUAGUCAAGUUAUGACUAAUCCUUGUAUUCAGUUUAAAGGGCCUUGUAGCUAUAUUCAUUUUAUUAAGUUGGUAUUUAGUUUGUUAAUUCCUCAGGGGAGAAAAACAGCAUAGAUGGUUUCCAAAGCAGAGUUUUGUUGAUGUCACAAAGCCUAAAAGUUUAAAGAGGUUUACUAAAAUAUUCUCCUUAUCCCAACUACCUUCUGGAUCCUGAACAAGGGUGAAGUCCACCCAAGAUUAAGACAUUUGUCAAUGUUUCCCAUCUACGACAUUGUAAUAGUCCUGGUUCUCUGUCUAUGCCUGAUCUCAAGGACAAGAUUCACAUCAGGAAAAGGUUUAAAUGCCUGUGUCUCACCUCAUGGAUAAUUUGUUUUCUGUUUAACUCUGUAAAAAGUGUUUUUGUUCAAAUAAAUUCCCGGUUGGCUGAAGAGUUA